AAUAGAGGAGCGGACGAGCAUUAGUAUCUUUUGCUUUAGUCAAGUGAGAGCUUGACCGCAUUGAAAAAGGGCAUCUCCGCCGAAGUCGUAUGGCAAAAUCUGCCAACGGCUGGGCAUACGGGCUAAUACCCGUGUGACUGUCACUUUACGUGUUGCG
rnacentral:ncRNA from 1 species